GACGAACGCUGGCGGCGUGCUUAACACAUGCAAGUCGAACGGAAAGGCCCUGCUUUUGUGGGGUGCUCGAGUGGCGAACGGGUGAGUAACACGUGAGUAACCUGCCCUUGACUUUGGGAUAACUUCAGGAAACUGGGGCUAAUACCGGAUAGGAGCUCCUGCUGCAUGGUGGGGGUUGGAAAGUUUCGGCGGUUGGGGAUGGACUCGCGGCUUAUCAGCUUGUUGGUGGGGUAGUGGCUUACCAAGGCUUUGACGGGUAGCCGGCCUGGGAGGGUGACCGGCCACAUUGGGACUGAGAUACGGCCCAGACUCCUACGGGAGGCAGCAGUGGGGAAUAUUGCACAAUGGGCGGAAGCCUGAUGCAGCAACGCCGCGUGCGGGAUGACGGCCUUCGGGUUGUAAACCGAUUUCGCCUGUGACGAAGCGUGAGUGACGGUAAUGGGUAAAGAAGCACCGGCUAACUACGUG
rnacentral:rRNA from 1 species